UGCUGGAGGUAUCAGAAGUGCGAAUGCUGACAUAAGUAACGAUAAAGCGGGUGAAAACCCCGCUCGCCGGAAGACCAAGGGUUCCUGUCCAACGUUAAUCGGGGCAGGGUGAGUCGCCCCCUAAGGCGAGGCCGAAAGGCGUAGUCGAUGGGAAACGGGUUAAUAUUCCCGUACUUGGUGUUACUGCGAAGGGGGGACGGAGAAGGCUAUGUUGGCCGGGCGACGGUUGUCCCGGGUUUAGCGUGUAGGUGUGUGUUCCAGGUAAAUCCGGUUCACUUUAACACUGAGGCGUGACGACGAGGCACUACGGUGCUGAAGCAACAAAUGCCCUGCUUCCAGGAAAAGCCUCUAAGCAUCAGGUAACACGAAAUCGUACCCCAAACCGACACAGGUGGUCAGGUAGAGAAUACCAAGGCGCUUGAGAGAACUCGGGUGAAGGAACUAGGCAAAAUGGUGCCGUAACUUCGGGAGAAGGCACGCUGACACGUAGGUGAAGUGAUUUACUCAUGGAGCUGAAGUCAGUCGAAGAUACCAGCUGGCUGCAACUGUUUAUUAAAAACACAGCACUGUGCAAACACGAAAGUGGACGUAUACGGUGUGACGCCUGCCCGGUGCCGGAAGGUUAAUUGAUGGGGUCAGCGCAAGCGAAGCUCCUGAUCGAAGCCCCGGUAAACGGCGGCCGUAACUAUAACGGUCCUAAGGUAGCGAAAUUCCUUGUCGGGUAAGUUCCGACCUGCACGAAUGGCGUAAUGAUGGCCAGGCUGUCUCCACCCGAGACUCAGUGAAAUUGAACUCGCUGUGAAGAUGCAGUGUACCCGCGGCAAGACGGAAAGACCCCGUGAACCUUUACUAUAGCUUGACACUGAACAUUGAGCCUUGAUGUGUAGGAUAGGUGGGAGGCUUUGAAGUGUGGACGCCAGUCUGCAUGGAGCCGACCUUGAAAUACCACCCUUUAAUGUUUGAUGUUCUAACGUGGACCCGUAAUCCGGGUUGCGGACAGUGUCUGGUGGGUAGUUUGACUGGGGCGGUCUCCUCCUAAAGAGUAACGGAGGAGCACGAAGGUUGGCUAAUCCUGGUCGGACAUCAGGAGGUUAGUGCAAUGGCAUAAGCCAGCUUGACUGCGAGCGUGACGGCGCGAGCAGGUGCGAAAGCAGGUCAUAGUGAUCCGGUGGUUCUGAAUGGAAGGGCCAUCGCUCAACGGAUAAAAGGUACUCCGGGGAUAACAGGCUGAUACCGCCCAAGAGUUCAUAUCGACGGCGGUGUUUGGCACCUCGAUGUCGGCUCAUCACAUCCUGGGGCUGAAGUAGGUCCCAAGGGUAUGGCUGUUCGCCAUUUAAAGUGGUACGCGAGCUGGGUUUAGAACGUCGUGAGACAGUUCGGUCCCUAUCUGCCGUGGGCGCUGGAGAACUGAGGGGGGCUGCUCCUAGUACGAGAGGACCGGAGUGGACGCAUCACUGGUGUUCGGGUUGUCAUGCCAAUGGCACUGCCCGGUAGCUAAAUGCGGAAGAGAUAAGUGCUGAAAGCAUCUAAGCACGAAACUUGCCCCGAGAUGAGUUCUCCCUGAGACUUAGAGUCUCCUGAAGGAACGUUGAAGACGACGACGUUGAUAGGCCGGGUGUGUAAGCGCAGCGAUGCGUUGAGCUAACCGGUACUAAUGAACCGUGAGGCUUAACCUU
rnacentral:rRNA from 1 species